rnacentral:tRNA from 1 species
AGGCCCGUAGCUCAGUUGGUUAGAGCGCUUCCUUGACACGGAAGAGGUCAGAGGUUCGAGUCCUCCCGGGCCUA